rnacentral:rRNA from 1 species
GGUUAAGCGACUAAGCGUACACGGUGGAUGCCCUGGCAGUCAGAGGCGAUGAAGGACGUGCUAAUCUGCGAAAAGCGUCGGUAAGGUGAUAUGAACCGUUAUAACCGGCGAUGUCCGAAUGGGGAAACCCAGUGCAAUUCGUUGCACUAUCGUUAACUGAAUACAUAGGUUAACGAGGCGAACCGGGGGAACUGAAACAUCUAAGUACCCCGAGGAAAAGAAAUCAACCGAGAUUCCCCCAGUAGCGGCGAGCGAACGGGGAGCAGCCCAGAGUCUGAAUCAGCUUGUGUGUUAGUGGAACGGUCUGGAAAGUCCGACGGUACAGGGUGAUAGUCCCGUACACCAAAAUGCACAGGUUGUGAACUCGAAGAGUAGGGCGGGACACGUGGUAUCCUGUCUGAAUAUGGGGGGACCAUCCUCCAAGGCUAAAUACUCCUGACUGACCGAUAGUGAACCAGUACCGUGAGGGAAAGGCGAAAAGAACCCCGGCGAGGGGAGUGAAAAAGAACCUGAAACCGUGUACGUACAAGCAGUGGGAGCACCUUCGGGUGUGACUGCGUACCUUUUGUAUAAUGGGUCAGCGACUUAUAUUCUGUAGCAAGGUUAACCGUAUAGGGGAGCCGCAGGGAAACCGAGUCUUAACUGGGCGUUAAGUUGCAGGGUAUAGACCCGAAACCCGGUGAUCUAGCCAUGGGCAGGUUGAAGGUUGGGUAACACUAACUGGAGGACCGAACCGACUAAUGUUGAAAAAUUAGCGGAUGACUUGUGGCUGGGGGUGAAAGGCCAAUCAAACCGGGAGAUAGCUGGUUCUCCCCGAAAGCUAUUUAGGUAGCGCCUCGUGAAUUCAUCUUCGGGGGUAGAGCACUGUUUCGGCUAGGGGGUCAUCCCGACUUACCAACCCGAUGCAAACUACGAAUACCGAAGAAUGUUAUCACGGGAGACACACGGCGGGUGCUAACGUCCGUCGUGAAGAGGGAAACAACCCAGACCGCCAGCUAAGGUCCCAAAGUCAUGGUUAAGUGGGAAACGAUGUGGGAAGGCACAGACAGCCAGGAUGUUGGCUUAGAAGCAGCCAUCAUUUAAAGAAAGCGUAAUAGCUCACUGGUCGAGUCGGCCUGCGCGGAAGAUGUAACGGGGCUAAACCAUGCACCGAAGCUGCGGCAGCGACACUAUGUGUUGUUGGGUAGGGGAGCGUUCUGUAAGCCUGCGAAGGUGUGCUGUGAGGCAUGCUGGAGGUAUCAGAAGUGCGAAUGCUGACAUAAGUAACGAUAAAGCGGGUGAAAAGCCCGCUCGCCGGAAGACCAAGGGUUCCUGUCCAACGUUAAUCGGGGCAGGGUGAGUCGACCCCUAAGGCGAGGCCGAAAGGCGUAGUCGAUGGGAAACAGGUUAAUAUUCCUGUACUUGGUGUUACUGCGAAGGGGGGACGGAGAAGGCUAUGUUAGCCGGGCGACGGUUGUCCCGGUUUAAGCAUGUAGGCUGGUUAUCCAGGCAAAUCCGGAUAAUCAAGGCUGAGGUGUGAUGACGAGGCACUACGGUGCUGAAGUAACAAAUGCCCUGCUUCCAGGAAAAGCCUCUAAGCAUCAGGUAACAUCAAAUCGUACCCCAAACCGACACAGGUGGUCAGGUAGAGAAUACCAAGGCGCUUGAGAGAACUCGGGUGAAGGAACUAGGCAAAAUGGUGCCGUAACUUCGGGAGAAGGCACGCUGGUGUGUAGGUGAAGUCCCUGCGGAUGGAGCUGAGACCAGUCGAAGAUACCAGCUGGCUGCAACUGUUUAUUAAAAACACAGCACUGUGCAAACACGAAAGUGGACGUAUACGGUGUGACGCCUGCCCGGUGCCGGAAGGUUAAUUGAUGGGGUUAUCCGUAAGGAGAAGCUCUUGAUCGAAGCCCCGGUAAACGGCGGCCGUAACUAUAACGGUCCUAAGGUAGCGAAAUUCCUUGUCGGGUAAGUUCCGACCUGCACGAAUGGCGUAAUGAUGGCCAGGCUGUCUCCACCCGAGACUCAGUGAAAUUGAACUCGCUGUGAAGAUGCAGUGUACCCGCGGCAAGACGGAAAGACCCCGUGAACCUUUACUAUAGCUUGACACUGAACAUUGAGCCUUGAUGUGUAGGAUAGGUGGGAGGCUUUGAAGCGUGGACGCCAGUCUGCGUGGAGCCAACCUUGAAAUACCACCCUUUAAUGUUUGAUGUUCUAACGUUGGCCCCUGACCGGGGUUGCGGACAGUGUCUGGUGGGUAGUUUGACUGGGGCGGUCUCCUCCCAAAGCGUAACGGAGGAGCACGAAGGUUAGCUAAUCCUGGUCGGACAUCAGGAGGUUAGUGCAAUGGCAUAAGCUAGCUUGACUGCGAGCGUGACGGCGCGAGCAGGUGCGAAAGCAGGUCAUAGUGAUCCGGUGGUUCUGAAUGGAAGGGCCAUCGCUCAACGGAUAAAAGGUACUCCGGGGAUAACAGGCUGAUACCGCCCAAGAGUUCAUAUCGACGGCGGUGUUUGGCACCUCGAUGUCGGCUCAUCACAUCCUGGGGCUGAAGUAGGUCCCAAGGGUAUGGCUGUUCGCCAUUUAAAGUGGUACGCGAGCUGGGUUUAGAACGUCGUGAGACAGUUCGGUCCCUAUCUGCCGUGGGCGCUGGAGAAUUGAGGGGGGCUGCUCCUAGUACGAGAGGACCGGAGUGGACGCAUCACUGGUGUUCGGGUUGUCAUGCCAAUGGCACUGCCCGGUAGCUAAAUGCGGAAGAGAUAAGUGCUGAAAGCAUCUAAGCACGAAACUUGCCCCGAGAUGAGUUCUCCCUGAGACUUUAAGUCUCCUGAAGGAACGUU